CCCUGGUUGGCUCAGUUGGUAGAGCGCUCCACCUGGAAUGGAGAGAUCCCGGGUUCGAUACCCGGACCAGGCG
rnacentral:tRNA from 1 species